UGCGUAGGCGGCUUGGAAGGUGAGAUGUGAAAGCCCACGGCCCAACCGUGGAAUUGCGUUUCAAACCCUCAAGCUCGAGGAAGAUAGGGGUGAUGGGAACUUAUGGUGGAGCGGUGAAAUGCGUUGAUAUCAUAGGGAACACCGGUGGCGAAAGCGCAUCACUGGAUCUUUUCUGACGCUGAGGCACGAAAGCUAGGGUAGCGAACG
rnacentral:rRNA from 1 species